rfam:Peptostreptococcaceae bacterium CCRI-22567 contig-4000010, whole genome shotgun sequence.
AAUAAAAAAUUUAAUACGCCAAAGACGGUAGGAGCUAAGGCUUAAAAUACAAUCCUAUUUAGGCAAUUAGAUGAAAAUCUCUAACCUAUUUGUCCGUCUUUUGCGAUGAAUAGGUUUUUUAUUGAAAAA